UACGGGGGGGGCAAGCGUUGUUCGGAAUUACUGGGCGUAAAGGGCCAGUAGGCGGCCAACUAAGUCCGACGUGAAAUCCCAAGGCUUAACCUUGGAACUGCGUCUGAUACUGGAUGGCUUGGAUUCGGGAGAGGAAUGCGGAAUUCCAGGUGUAGCGGUGAAAUGCGUAGAUAUCUGGAGGAACACCGGUGGCGAAGGCGGCAUUCUGGACCGACAUUGACGCUGAGGAGCGAAAGCCAGGGGAGCAAACGGG
rnacentral:rRNA from 1 species